CCCCAGACACCCCUCCAAACCGUCUACAGAUUUAAGAUUUGAAAGCAGGGAGAUAUACCAAAAGCAAGGAGUUCCUUUUGAGAGUCUGCAGCAGUAGAGGUGCACAGUUGUACUUUUGGUACGUGCAUGUAUCUUCUGGGAUUAAAGUCCUCUCUGGGGAGGACGCACCCUUUAUUCUGUGGCCUUUACGAAUUCUUUAGUACACAGAAUCUGUAGGGAGCUCCGUUGAACGGAUCUGAAGAAGCUGUAGUGACCACCUUUAAAACAGAUGCAAACAUGAUCUGAACAUGGGGUGUGUAGGGCCAACAGGAAAUCUUCGACAGCCACAAGAAGUUAGGAUUUGCCUGUCCAUGUCUUCUCUAAAUGGGGAAAAAUUCCAAGCGAUCUCUGAUAUCUGUGCCUGCUGUUUCAAUAUGGAGUUUGAAUGUAUUUGUGUACAUUAAAACAGGUUUCAAUUUUGCACUGUAAUAAGUCUUUGAAGUGUAAUUAAAGUUUUUAUUAUUUAUUUGA